rnacentral:rRNA from 1 species
UACGUAGGGGGCAAGCGUUGUCCGGAUUUAUUGGGCGUAAAGAGCGUGUAGGCGGCUUGGAAGGUCAGCUGUGAAAACUCGAGGCUCAACCUCGAGACGUCGGUUGAAACCACCUGGCUAGAGUCCGGAAGAGGAGAGUGGAAUUCCCGGUGUAGCGGUGAAAUGCGCAGAUAUCGGGAAGAACACCCGUGGCGAAGGCGGCUCUCUGGGACGGUACUGACGCUGAUGAGCGAAAGCCAGGGGAGCAAACAGG